rnacentral:rRNA from 1 species
GACGAACGCUGGCGGCGUGCUUAACACAUGCGAGUCGAACGGUAAGGCCCUUCGGGGUACACGAGUGGCGAACGGGUGAGUAACACGUGGGUGAUCUGCCCUGCACUUCGGGAUAAGCCUGGGAAACUGGGUCUAAUACCGGAUAGGACCACUGCCUGCAUGGGUGGUGGUGGAAAGCUUUUGCGGUGUGGGAUGGGCCCGCGGCCUAUCAGCUUGUUGGUGGGGUGAUGGCCUACCAAGGCGACGACGGGUAGCCGGCCUGAGAGGGUGACCGGCCACACUGGGACUGAGAUACGGCCCAGACUCCUACGGGAGGCAGCAGUGGGGAAUAUUGCACAAUGGGCGCAAGCCUGAUGCAGCGACGCCGCGUGAGCGAUGACGGCCUUCGGGUUGUAAACCUCUUUCAGCACCGACGAAGCGCAAGUGACGGUAGGUGCAGAAGAAGGACCGGCCAACUACGUGCCAGCCGCCGCGGUAA